AGUGAACGCUGGCGGUAGGCCUAACACAUGCAAGUCGAACGGCAGCACAGUAAGAGCUUGCUCUUACGGGUAGCGAGUGGCGGACGGGUGAGGAAUACAUCGGAAUCUACUUUUUCGUGGGGGAUAACGUAGGGAAACUUACGCUAAUACCGCAUACGACCUACGGGUGAAAGCAGGGGAUCUUCGGACCUUGCGCGAUUGAAUGAGCCGAUGUCGGAUUAGCUAGUUGGCGGGGUAAAGGCCCACCAAGGCGACGAUCCGUAGCUGGUCUGAGAGGAUGAUCAGCCACACUGGAACUGAGACACGGUCCAGACUCCUACGGGAGGCAGCAGUGGGGAAUAUUGGACAAUGGGCGCAAGCCUGAUCCAGCCAUACCGCGUGGGUGAAGAAGGCCUUCGGGUUGUAAAGCCCUUUUGUUGGGAAAGAAAAGCAGCAGGUUAAUACCCCGCUGUUCUGACGGUACCCAAAGAAUAAGCACCGGCUAACUUCGU
rnacentral:rRNA from 1 species